rnacentral:rRNA from 1 species
CGUUAUCUUCAAUAUGUCUAAACGACUCUCGGCAACGGAUAUCUCGGCUCUCGCAUCGAUGAAGAACGUAGCGAAAUGCGAUACUUGGUGUGAAUUGCAGAAUCCCGUGAACCAUCGAGUCUUUGAACGCAAGUUGCGCCCGAAGCCAUUAGGCCGAGGGCACG